GACGAACGCUGGCGGCGUGCCUAAUACAUGCAAGUCGAGCGAAGUUUUUCUGGUGCUUGCCCUAGAAAAACUUAGCGGCGAACGGGUGAGUAACACGUAAAGAACCUGCCUCAUAGACUGGGACAACUAUUGGAAACGAUAGCUAAUACCGGAUAACAGUAUUUCUCGCAUGAGAGAUAUUUAAAAGUUGGUUAUGCUAACACUAUGAGAUGGCUUUGCGGUGCAUUAGCUAGUUGGUGGGGUAAAGGCCCACCAAGGCGACGAUGCAUAGCCGACCUGAGAGGGUGAUCGGCCACACUGGGACUGAGACACGGCCCAGACUCCUACGGGAGGCAGCAGCAGGGAAUCUUCCGCAAAGGGCGAAAGCCUGACGGAGCAACGCCGCGUGAGUGAAGAAGGAUUUCGGUUCGUAAAGCUCUGUUGUUAGGGAAGAAUGGAUAUGUAGUAACUAUACAUGUAAGAGACGGUACCUAACCAGAAAGCCACGGCUAACUACGUG
rnacentral:rRNA from 1 species